UGGGUGUGGGUGGGUUGUUCUGGUGUUUAUUAAUUAGAACUACCUCUGAUUCUGAAUUUUGGAUUUUACCUUUCUAAUUAUAGCUUUUGUUCCCUUUUCAACCAAAAAAAAGAAAUUAUGAAUUAUGAAUUAUUAAUACUACUCGUUUCUUUUUUAUUUCUCAUUCUUCACAUACCUUUAAUUUGUGAGUAUAUGUUGAUUUAUGUUGUAGUUUGAUAUUAGCUAGUUCUUUUUAGGAAUUUAUGAUGUUAUUUGUGCAGAAUGUUUUGCUAA
rnacentral:lncRNA from 1 species